UGCAAUAGCAACACGUUGUUGUUGACCACCUGAUAAUGCAUGUGGACGUUGAUCUUUGACAUGUGUUAAACCAACUUUCUCAAGUAACUCAAGUGAUUUCCCACGUGCCUCAUCCUUUUUCAACUUUUUAACUGUGAUAAGACCUUCCAUUACAUUUUCUAAUGCCGUCUUAUGCGGAAAAAGGUUAUAACUUUGAAAUACCAUACCAGACUGUUUACGAACUUCUAUUUGUGAUUUUUAUCUUUAGAUGUAUAUGUUUUGCCGUUAACAUAAACUGUACCUUCAGUUG
rnacentral:sRNA from 1 species